UUUAUUGGAGAGUUUGAUCCUGGCUCAGGACGAACGCUGGCGGCGUGCCUAAUACAUGCAAGUCGAGCGGACCUUUCAAGAGCUUGCUCUUGAAAGGUUAGCGGCGGACGGGUGAGUAACACGUGGGCAACCUGCCCUGUAGACUGGGAUAACUUCGGGAAACCGGAGCUAAUACCAGAUAAUCAAUAACACCACAUGGUGUGAUUGUAAAAGUUGGGAAUUCUAACACUACGGGAUGGGCCCGCGACGCAUUAGCUAGUUGGUGAGGUAAUGGCUCACCAAGGCGACGAUGCGUAGCCGACCUGAGAGGGUGAUCGGCCACACUGGGACUGAGACACGGCCCAGACUCCUACGGGAGGCAGCAGUAGGGAAUCUUCCGCAAUGGACGAAAGUCUGACGGAGCAACGCCGCGUGAGUGAUGAAGGCCUUCGGGUCGUAAAGCUCUGUUGUUAGGGAAGAAC
rnacentral:rRNA from 2 species